ACAUAAUUGUUUCACACAUUAGAGUUGUAAUUUGUCAUAAUUUUAAAGAAUAAUUGAUUAUGUAUAUGACUGCUCAUGUGAAAUAAAAAUAGUUAUUAACUAAAAAAAAAGCCGCACGACUUGAAAUACAAAAUUAAUCUUCUUCAUUUCUUAAAAAAAAUAAAAACAUUUAAAUACGAAAUAAAAAUUAGACAAUUAAUAUCAAAUUAUAAAAAAACUCAAAAAGCUAAU
rnacentral:lncRNA from 1 species